GCAGUGGUGACCGAGUGAUUAAGGCGAUGGACUAGAAAUCCAUUGCGGUCUGCCCGCACAAGUUCGAAUCCUGUCGACUGCG
rfam:Ixodes scapularis strain Wikel colony gcontig_1108379106490, whole genome shotgun sequence.